GAUGCUUUUGGUAAGAUUUACCACCUGAAUGGCAUGGGUUUCCAAAAACUCAAUGAAGUGCUUGUCACCCUCCUCCCGAAGAAGCCCGAUGCUGCCACUCUCACGGACUAUCGGCUAAUCAGCCUUAUUCACCUUCUGGCCAAGCUCUUUGCCAAGGUGUUGUCACUCAGGCUCGCUCCCCGCCUUCGGGCCAUGUUGUCGUCCAACCAGAGUGCGUUCAUUGGAGGCCGUUGCAUCCACGACAAUUUCAUUCUUGUCCAGCAGACCGCCCGUCAAUUGCAUAUAGCAUGA
rnacentral:rRNA from 1 species